UUCGGAUACUUACGUCUUUGUCUGAUGAUGUCAUAUGCCUUGGACUCAACGAACGUUAUCGUUACACACUGGAUCGGAAAGUUAUGGUGAUCUGCACUGGUUUCAAACCUCUUUAAGUUAAGCUUCAAGUUGGCUUUUGAAAGCAUCGUUGUUUUAGCCUACUUCAUCAACACCAUGAAAAGUGUACUGGAACUUGUGGUCUGCGUGAUUUGUUGAACUAGAAGACCAUGGAAAAAUGGCGGAGAUAUUCCCAAGUCACUUCUGAUUGUGCUGAGAGCUCAACAGUGCCAAACUUUGACAAAUUGACAUUCGCCAGUUGGCCUCAUUCAAUUCCAUUGCUGUCUGCCUAAUAAUGUCAGUGGUAAGUACAGUACCACGACGGGAGUGGUAAGUACAGUAAGUACGACGUUGUUUAAUUAGAUUGGUUAUCAAUGGGAUUUUAAGUUUAUAAUGAUAUUUGCCGAAGCGUUACCUAACGUUAGCGAGACAGCUCACUGACAUUAGUGUUAACGUUAAACAUGCUAUGAGCUAGGACACCAACGUGAUUUUGAUCAAAUACGUUUCAUUCAGCAUGGUAACUAUAUUCAGAUGUGGUGGUUAUCAACGAGUUUGCUAUUACUGUUAUGCAGAUGAACAGUGGAGUAAAUUAAUGUGCUACAUUUGCUUUGAACCUGAUAUAGCUAGAUAGGAGUUUUUGCUCCAACUGCUUUCAGAUCAUUUAUUUCCCUGUAAAUUUGCACUUCUAAAGUCUCACCAGUGCAGGUUUGUGUUCUUGAUGUAAUGUUGAUGGAAUAAUUUGUAUUGCUGUAUCUGCCAAAUAAUUUCUUAAAUGCAUAUGAGCUUUGCAGAUGCCGAGAGAGGCUGAAGUGACAAGAGGACAUUGCCUAUCAUUAGGGCAAUUACGACAAGGUCGAACCGGUGGUCUACUUCCUCAAGGAACCAUGAUGUUUUCAGGGAGGACUGGCCGUUUCUCCUCCUCAACCAGGUUUUUCAGGAGAGCACUGGUCACUCUACUAAAGACGUGCAUGGCAGGUUGGACACUGAAAUGGGAGUGGGUUGGCGGUCAUGAAGGAUAAAUGGGUAUGUACGGUUGUUCCUGUGUUAAUGGCCGUUUGCAUCAGGAACGAUAACUAUAAUGAUAAGUGUCCUCACUGAUCAAUUAAGAAAAGUCUCUCCUUGAAUAUGAUAGCUAAAAUUUGAUGGAUUUUGGUUGGCUGUCAGCUUUGUAUUGUUCUCAACAUCGUUUGGAAAGUGAUCCCCAACAACAUCUUUCUUCAUGUUAUCGUUACAGUUUAUGUGUGGAUGUAAGGUGGUCGGCCGUGUGUGGUGGGUCUUGCUGGAGAUGGCCUCUUGCUUUGGUUUAUGGUUAUGACUUAAUGUGGCAGCUGUAAAUGUGUUGUUCCAGGUAUAAACUGAAUGUUACCCGCUCUGUUCUCCCUCCAUUCUCCACUGUGCCUGUUCUGCUUACCUAGGACCAAGGAUGCUGAGGACGAGAAAGGUGUGCGGUAGGAUGAACAGCCUUCAGCUUCAACAUCACCCCUAACACUCCUGGCUCCAUCAAACGUGCUGCAUCCUCCUUAGCUUGUCCCUGUUAUAGGUGUGCAGAGUUUAUAGACAGCUACCCAUCCUUUCCACAUUGUGUAUUUUCUGUUGUUCACACACACACUUCAGACAUUAGGAACUGAAAUCUUUUUUGAAAAUAUAAAUGAGUGUCAAACCUCCUUUCUAUGUUGCAGUCCCACCACACCUUCCUUCUGGUAUUUUUGUUGUUUUUCCCCCUGGUUUUUUUUGUUAACACACACUUGUUUCACACAUUGAAAAAUGAAUAAAAUAUGUAAAAUAUGA